rnacentral:rRNA from 1 species
AUUGAACGCUAGCGGGAUGCCUUACACAUGCAAGUCGAACGGAGUGGCGAACGGGUGAGUAAUGUAUAGGAACGUGCCCAGUAGUGGGGGAUAACGACGGGAAAGCGGAGCUAAUACCGCAUACUAUAAGAGGGGCCGAGGUCGGAGUAGCUAGUUGGUGGGGUAAAGGCUCACCAAGGCGACGAUCCGUAACUGGUUUGAGAGGAGGAUCAGCCACACUGGGACUGAGACACGGUCCAGACUCCUACGGGAGGCAGCAGUGGGGAAUUUUGGACAAUGGGGGAAACCCUGAUCCAGCCAUCCCGCGUGUGUGAUGAAGGCCUUCGGCUUGUAAAGCACUUUUUGUUGGGAAGCGUUACCACCAGAAUAAGCACCGGCUAACUUCGUGCCAGCAGCCGCGGUAAUAC